rnacentral:lncRNA from 1 species
GUGGCGCGCGCCGGCCCUCGAGCUGCACGGGACGCGAGGGCUGGGCGGGCAGCGGAAUGGGAAUAAAGGUUGGGUUUUAAGGGAAGGGCGGCUCCCGGAAAGACAUGCUUUGGUUUGAAGGUGGGUAAGUGCCUGAUGGGUGAGUGCACCUUGUUCUGCACCCCUGCGCCCGACUCGGUAACUGCACGCGGCACCCCCACCCCCGACUCCCACGUAGACGGUCGUGCGGCCUGCGGGCUCCCCCGGCGGACGAGGCUAAUGGUUUGCUCCGCCCCGCCCACACAGAGGCCGCCCACUGGCUGCUGUCACGGCUCAGGACUCCUCGGUCAGACCAAAUGCAGAGGAAGGGCCGAGCCCGGCCCUCGGACUCUCGUAAGGGUAGGGGUCGCUGUUUUCAGGGCCCUCGCACCCAGAUCCAGACCAGGUCCCGGCCUCCACCCUCAGAUUUGCCCCUAAGAAGCCGGCCGCCUCCACCUUCAGACCAGGGGAGAGGAAUCCCCAGAGGGUCCUCUAGUCAGGACAGAGCCCCACGCUGCAGCGUCCCCAACCCACAGACCACCAUCAGGGCACACGCACACGCACAGCCACCAGACAGCCAGGCACCUGACAGCCAGACUGACCCUCUCCCAACCCGGGGAGGGGCCUGCUCCAUCUCAGUGACUGCUUCCUUCUCAGCAGCACCAUCAGGACUAGGGGUGACACCCACCCCAAGCACCACUGCACCCCCUAGGUGCCAGGCCCUUUUCAUUCCCACCAGAUGGAGCAGCCCCCUCCUUCCAGGUGAACAAAGUCGCUGCAAAGAAACUGGAGGUUAA